rnacentral:rRNA from 1 species
CACAGAGUUAGUCGCCACUUCCUCUGGGGUAGAUCAGAACUUUCUUACCCCUGACAGUGGUUUACAUCCCGAAGGACUUCAUCCCACACGCGGCGUCGCUCCAUCACACUUUCGUGCAUUGUGGAAGAUUCGUUACUGCAGCCCCCCGUAGGAGUCCGGACAGUGUCUCAGUUCCGAUGUGGCCGACCGACCUCUCAGUCCGGCUACGCGUCAUUGCCUUGGUAAGCCGUUACCUUACCAACUAGCUGAUACGAUAUAGCCCGAUCCUAGACCAAUUGCUCGUUGAGCUCCGUGCCAUGCGACACAGAGAUAUCAUCUGGUAUUACCCAACCUUUCGGUUGGCUAUCCCAGAGUCCAGGGUACGUUAGCUAUAUAUUACUCACCCGUGCGCCACUAAUGUAUUGCUACAUCCGUGCGACUUGCAUGUCUUAGCCACGCCGCCAGCGUUCAGGCUGAGCCAGGAUCAAACUCU